rnacentral:rRNA from 1 species
GAUGAACGCUGGCGGCGUGCCUAAUACAUGCAAGUCGAGCGGAAACAGGUGAUGGUUGCCUCACGAGUGGCAACCGGGGGCGGAUGAGUAACGCAUGGGCAACCUAGCGGUGAGAAAGGGAGAGCAAGCGGAAACAAGAGCGAAUACCGGCUAAGAAUUUGAGCAGGAGGGUUCAAGAGUGAACGAGGGUGGUGCGGCCACUGACAGAUGGAGCGGCGCUGGAUUAGCUAGUUGGUAAGGUAAAGGCUUACCAAGGCAACGAUGAAUAGCCGGCCUGAGAGGGUGACCGGCCACACUGGAACUGAGACACGGCCCAGACUCCUACGGGAGGCAGCAGUGGGGAAUUUUGGGCAAUGGGCGAAAGCCUGCCCGAGCAACGCCGCGUGCGUGAUGAAGGUCUUCGGGUUGUAAACUUCUUUUGUUCGGAACGAACAUGUGUGUGCUUAACUGUGCAGCUCUUGACGGUACCUAAUCAGAAAGCCCCGGCUAACUACGUG